UACGUAGGGUGCGAGCGUUGCCCGGAUUUAUUGGGCGUAAGGGCGCGUAGGCGGCCACGCACGUCCGUUGUGAAAUCGCCCGGCUCAACUGGGCGGGGUCGGCGGAUACGGCGUGGCUGGAGCAAGCUAGGGGGCAAUGGAAUUCCGGGUGGAGCGGUGAAAUGCGUAGAGAUCCGGAGGAACACCGACGGCGCAGGCAGCGUCCUGGCCGCUUGCUGACACUGAGGCACGAAAGCUGGGGGAGCAAACAGG
rnacentral:rRNA from 1 species